rnacentral:rRNA from 1 species
AGAACGAACGCUGGCGGCAUGCCUAAUACAUGCAAGUCGAACGAACUCUUCGGAGUUAGUGGCGCACGGGUGCGUAACGCGUGGGAAUCUGCCCUUGGGUUCGGAAUAACAGUUGGAAACGACUGCUAAUACCGGAUGAUGACGAAAGUCCAAAGAUUUAUCGCCCAGGGAUGAGCCCGCGUAGGAUUAGCUAGUUGGUGAGUAAAGGCUCACCAAGGCGACGAUCCUUAGCUGGUCUGAGAGGAUGAUCAGCCAACUACUGGGACUGGAGAACACGGCCCUAGACUCCGUAACGGGAGGCAGCUAGUAGGGAAUAUGGACAAAUGGGCGACAAGACCUGAUCCAGUACAAACUGGCCG